GACGAACGCUGGCGGCGUGCUUAACACAUGCAAGUCGAACGGAAAGGCCCUGCUUUUGUGGGGUGCUCGAGUGGCGAACGGGUGAGUAACACGUGAGUAACCUGCCCUUGACUUUGGGAUAACUUCAGGAAACUGGGGCUAAUACCGGAUAGGAGCUCCUGCUGCAUGGUGGGGGUUGGAAAGUUUCGGCGGUUGGGGAUGGACUCGCGGCUUAUCAGCUUGUUGGUGGGGUAGUGGCUUACCAAGGCUUUGACGGGUAGCCGGCCUGAGAGGGUGACCGGCCACCUUGGGACUGAGAUACGGCCCAGACUCCUACGGGAGGCAGCAGUGGGGAAUAUUGCAGAAUGGGCGGAAGCCUGAUGCAGCAACGCCGCGUGCGGGAUGACGGCCUUCGGGUUGUAAACCGCUUUCGCCUGUGACGAAGCGUGAGUGACGGUAAUGGGUAAAGAAGCACCGGCUAACUACGUG
rnacentral:rRNA from 1 species